CCCAAAUUUGGGGGGGCAAACGGACAUUUUGGGUGCAACAAGGCUCCGAAAAGUGGGGGGGGACACACUCAAAGACACCCCCCCCAAUGAUAUUUGUGUGGGGUAAUUAUAAAUCCUCACUUUAUUAAGAUUAAACUUAGUUUUUCCCCCCAAAUUCGCCUUUAACAAUAUCCCACGAGGAUUAUUUUCUUUAAAAGGGGGGGGGACACAACUAAAAACACCCCAAAACCCCGCCAUGGCCCCCCCAAAAAACCAGACAGGGUUUAUCCAAAGCCCAAGCGCCGCGGGAUUAUUCCCUUUGUCCCCGAUAUACGCGGGAUUUGGUUGAGCCGAGGGCGGGGGACGCCCCCAGAUCCCCAAAAGGUGGCGUCAGUUUCUCCUCAAAUUCAGAACCGGGGAACGCCGGAGGAACCUCCCAACUGCUUCUUCCUCCCGGGAGAAAUUUUCCUUAUUUUGAGUCGUUCCUCC